rnacentral:rRNA from 1 species
GGAGUUUGGACCGUGUCUCAGUUCCAAUGUGGGGGACCUUCCUCUCAGAACCCCUACUGAUCGCAGGCUUGGUGGGCCGUUACCCCGCCAACAACCUAAUCAGACGCAUCCCCAUCCCAUAGCGGUGAACCUUUGGUAUUCUCAGAUGUCAUCGAAAUACAACAUAGAGCAUUAAUCCGACUUUCGCCGGGCUAUUCUCUACUAUGGGGAACGGUUGGAUACGCGUUACUCACCCGUGCGCCGGUCGCCAUCAGUCUUAGCAAGCUAAGACCAUGCUGCCCCUCGACUUGCAUGUGUUAAGCCUGUAGCUAGCGUUCAUC